AUAUGUCUCUGUUAGGUGAGGCUCCUGUAUAGAGAAACGCUGCUACCCAAAAAUGUCGAGAUACGCCAAUCGGUCAACAGGAACGGUCCAAUUAAGGCCCUUCUUCUUAAUGUAGAUGGUUUUAAACCUAUACUGUACAGUGCUAAAACUCAAUGAGGGGGCUUUU
rnacentral:sRNA from 2 species